AUUGAACGCUGGCGGCAGGCCUAACACAUGCAAGUCGAGCGGUAGCACAAGAGAGCUUGCUCUCCGGGUGACGAGCGGCGGACGGGUGAGUAAUGUCUGGGAAACUGCCUGAUGGAGGGGGAUAACUACUGGAAACGGUAGCUAAUACCGCAUAACGUCGCAAGACCAAAGAGGGGGACCUUCGGGCCUCUUGCCAUCAGAUGUGCCCAGAUGGGAAUAGCUAGUAGGUGGGGUAACGGCUCACCUAGGCGACGAUCCCUAGCUGGUCUGAGAGGAUGACCAGCCACACUGGAACUGAGACACGGUCCAGACUCCUACGGGAGGCAGCAGUGGGGAAUAUUGCACAAUGGGCGCAAGCCUGAUGCAGCCAUGCCGCGUGUAUGAAGAAGGCCUUCGGGUUGUAAAGUACUUUCAGCGGGGAGGAAGGCGAUAAGGUUAAUAACCUUGUCGAUUGACGUUACCCGCAGAAGAAGCACCGGCUAACUCCGUGCCAGCCGCCGCCGUAACAC
rnacentral:rRNA from 1 species